GCAACGCGCAGAACCUUACCAACCCUUGACAUGGCAGGACCGCUGGAGAGAUUCAGCUUUCUCGUAAGAGACCUGCACACAGGUGCUGCAUGGCUGUCGUCAGCUCGUGUCGUGAGAUGUUCGGUUAAGUCCGGCAACGAGCGCAACCCACGUCCCUAGUUACCAGCAUUCAGUUGGGCACUCUAUGGAAACUGCCGAUGAUAAGUCGGAGGAAGGUGUGGAUGAUGUCAAGUCCUCAUGGCCCUUACGGGUUGGGCUACACACGUGCUACAAUGGUGGGGACAGUGGGUUAAUCCCCAAAAGCCAUCUCAGUUCGGAUUGUCCUCUGCAACUCGAGGGCAUGAAGUUGGAAUCGCUAGUAAUCGCGGAACAGCAUGCCGCGGGGAAUACGUUCCCGGCCCUUGUCCACACCGCCCGUCACACCAUGGGAGUUGGUUCUACCCGACGACGCUGCGCCAA
rnacentral:rRNA from 1 species